GACGUAGGGUGCAAGCGUUGUCCGGAUUUACUGGGCGUAAAGAGCGCGUAGGCGGCUCGUUAAGUGAGAAGUGAAAGCUCUUGGCUCAACCAAGAAACCGCUUUUCAUACUGGCGAGCUAGAGUGAUGCAGAGGUGGAUAGAAUUCCCGGUGUAGCGGUGAAAUGCGUUGAUAUCGGGAGGAAUACCCGUGGCGAAGGCGGUCCACUGGGCAUCAACUGACGCUGAGGCGCGAAAGCGUGGGUAGCAAACAGG
rnacentral:rRNA from 1 species